rnacentral:rRNA from 1 species
GAUGAACGCUGGCGGCGUGCCUAAUACAUGCAAGUCGAACGAACGGACGAGAAGCUUGCUUCUUUGUCGUUAGCCGCGCAGGGGUGUGUCACACGAGGAUACUCUCCCUAUCUGACUGAGAACACUACGAAACUCCGUAUCUUAUCCCGUAUAAUAUUCUGCUCCACAUUGUUCGAUAGUGAGAGACGGCCUUGCUGUCACUUCUCGAUGGUUCCGCGCUGCAUUAGCUAGUUGUUACGGUAACGGCUUUCCAAGGCGACGAUGCCUAGCCGACCUGAGAGGGUGGUCGGCCACACGGGAACUGGGACACGGACCAGACUCCUGCGAGAGGCAGCAGUAGGGAAUCGUCCGCAGUGGUCGAAAGCCUGGCGGAGCAGCGCGACGUGAGUGAUGGAGGUCUUCGGAUCGGAAAACUCUGUUAUGAGGGAAGAACAUAUGUGGAAGGAACUGUGCAGAGCGUGACGGUACCUAAUCAGAAAGCCACGGCUAACUACGUG